CAAGUCGAGUGCGCGCCUGUAGCAAUACAGGUGGCGCACGGCGCACGGGUGCGUAACACGUGGGUAAUCUGCCCUCUGAUGGGGAAUAACCCGCCGAAAGGCGGGCUAAUACCGCAUAACAUUCCUUGGAUUUCGGUCCGGGGACUCAAAGGCGUAAGUCGUCGGAGGAGGAGCCCGCGCACGAUUAGCUAGUUGGUAGGGUAAUGGCCUACCAAGGCUUUGAUCGUUAGCUGGUCUGAGAGGAUGGCCAGCCACACUGGAACUGAGACACGGUCCAGACUCCUACGGGAGGCAGCAGUGGGGAAUCUUGCACAAUGGGCGAAAGCCUGAUGCAGCGACGCCGCGUGGGGGAUGAAGCAUUUCGGUGUGUAAACCCCUUUCGAUCCGGACGAAUACCUCGCAAGAGGGGUGACGGUACGGAUAUAAGAAGCCCCGGCUAACUACGUGCCAGCAGCCGCGGUAAGACGUAGGGGGCCAGCGUUGUUCGGAAUUACUGGGUGUAAAGGGUUCGUAGGCGGUGUGGCAAGUUGGGAGUGAAAUCUCUGGGCUCAACCCAGAGGCUGCUUCCAAAACUGCUGUGCUUGAGUGUGAGAGAGGCGCGUGGAAUUGCAGGUGUAGCGGUGAAAUGCGUAGAUAUCUGCAGGAACACCCGUGGCGAAAGCGGCGCGCUGGAUCACUACUGACGCUGAGGAACGAAAGCUAGGGGAGCAAACAGGAUUAGAUACCCUGGUAGUCCUAGCCCUAAACGAUCAGGACUUGGGGUGCCACCCGUUCGGGUGUCGUCCCGGAGCUAACGCGUUAAGUCCUGCACCUGGGGAGUACGGUCGCAAGACUGAAACUCAAAGGAAUUGACGGGGGCCCGCACAAGCGGUGGAACAUGU
rnacentral:rRNA from 1 species